CUGAAAACCAAGUGAGGAGAUGGAGGAGCGGAUUGGAGUGGUCUGGAGGGAAGUUCUCCCAGCUGCUCAGGAGAGGGCAGGUUUGAUCAUCCUUUCCACAUUUUUGCCUGAAGACCCUUUACAGUUAUGUCUCACUCUCAUGUGCUGGGCUCCAUGCUCGUGAAUGGAGGUGUGCUCAUGGAGCUGCCUUCUCCUGUGGUUAUCCACAAUUCUCAACGAAAUGUGAAGGGUUGCACUGUACUACACCAGAGAAUACCGAGAGGAUAGACACUGCGGAUAGAUCCUGACCAUCACCCAAGGAGCAACUGCACAACUGUGGGAAGACAUCCAGUCUCUUAGCAGCGUUGCUCAACACAGAGAAGAUUGGGCAGUGAGACUAUCAUUUGGAAACCGGUCGGGUCAGAGCAGCUUUCUAAUCUUGACUCUAAUCUCCAGCAUCUGCAGUACCCACUUUCGCCAGCUUUGACAUAUCGUCGGAUCUGAACCUGGUCGGUGGUGUGGAGCCUUCCAUCAGAACGAAACUUUAAGCAGGUUUGGCUGUGAGUGAUCGGUCAGGGUGAGGCUAGGAAGAAGUGUUAGUGGCUCCAAGUGUGGUGAGAGCUUCAAUCACUCAUCAAGCCUCAUGAACAAGUGAUUCAGUCCUAUAGAUGAAAGACUAUUCAAGUGUGAGGUGUAUGAGGAGGACUCCACAGGCUCAUGUAAUCCUCUAACACACAAGAUUAUGUGUAGUACAGCAACAUGGAAGAAAAACCAUUUAAGUGUGAGGUGUGUGCCAAAGCCUUUGCACAAUCAUCAACCCUUCUGAUGCAUCACCGCAUUCACACAGGGGAGAAACCAUUCCUUUGCGAAGUGUGCAACAAAUCAUUCGCACAGUCUUCACAUCUCCGCUCACACCAACGCAUCCAUACAGGGGAGAAACCGUACAAUUGUGAGAUAUGCAACAAGUAUUUCUCACAGUCAUCCCAUCUUCGCUCACACCAACGCAUUCACACUGGAGAGAAGCCAUUCACAUGCGAGGUGUGCAAUAAAUCAUUCUCGUUGUCAUGGGCUCUCCUUGAACACCAACCUAUUCACACAGGGGAGAAACCCUUCACAUGUGAGGUGUGUGAGAAAUCAUUCUCACAGUCCUCUGGCCUUCGUGCACAUCAGCGCAUCCACACUGGGCUGAAGCCAUUUACAUGUGAAGUAUGUGACAAAUCAUUCACACGAUUCUCGUACCUCCGUGUACACCAACGUAUGCACACAGGGCAGAAACUUUUCAAAUGCGAGGUAUGUGACAAAGCUUUCACACGGUCAUCAGGCUUAAUGGCCCACCAGAGGCUCCACACAGGUGAGAAACCCUUUAAGUGUGAGGUGUGUGAUGAAGCUUUUCCAAUAUCAGCAAGGCUGCUGAGACACCAGAGGAUUCAUACAGGGGAGAAACCUUUCAGAUGUGAGGUGUGCGGGGCUGCAUUCUACCGAUCCUCUAAUCUCCUCACACAUCAGAAAAUUCACACGGGGGAGAAACCAUUCACGUGCGAGGUGUGUGGCAAAUCAUUCUCCAGGUCAUCUUACCUUCUGGUCCAUCAGAGGAUCCACACAGGAAAGUAACCCUGUCAAUGUGAAGUCUCCACUGAAGCUUCCGUGGCAUCAUUGAGGAUUGACAUGAGUGCAAUGUUUGUGGACUCAUGGUUGGGUCUUGUGAUUUCAUGGUGCUAGCUGUGUUUUCAUCACUGAUUGAACAAGUCGAUGAUCAGUAUAUCAUCAACAGCCCCCAUCAUGGAUCAAGUGAUACAGACAGCCCUUAGAACUUUGACUUGAGUUUCAAGCUGCCAAAGGAACCUCUGGCAUGGUCUUUGUACUGGGGAAAGGCAAGGAAAAUGUUGAGAGCAAGACCAGGAAUUGUUCAUUAUGUUCCUCAAUGUGACCAAAGUAUUUGAGUCAGUAAAUCACAAGGUUGUGUAGACUGUGCUCCGAUGAUUUGGAUGUCAAAGAAAGUUCGGUCCAAUCCUGCAAGAGCUUCAUGAUGAAGUGAUGUGACUGUAACUGUAAUAAGUGUGAGAUCUGAAAACAAACAUUCAAAAUCCACUAGUGUCAAACAAGGCAGUGUGAUAGUGCCCAUUCUAUUUACAGUCUACCUGACAGUGACUAUUCACCUCAUCAAAGACCCCCUGCCCUGUGCUGUCAGUGUUAAAUGUCAUUUUGGUGUGAAACUAAUUUAUCUCAAUCCUUUCUGUGCCAAACUGAAACUGAACACCAUAGAUAAACGUGAUCACCAGUUUGCAGUGCCUGGAAAGAUGGGGGUCUGUAUGGAGAAAGAGAUGGGAACCACAUUGUCUACUCCUGCUCAUGACUGUAAAGGCCGCAUUUUAAAAAAAUUUGAAUUGUGGACUAAGUAUUUUGUACAGAAGACUGUAUUUGUAUCAUUGUGGAUUCCAACAUUCACAAUAGGUAUCAAAUUACUUCCAAAACAUGCAGCCAUCAUUGUAAAUGGUUUAAAACAGUUCUUUCUCAUUUCAGUCUACAGUUUUAGAAGGUACAAGAAAUAUAAUAGACACAUUACUGGAACGGUGUUUACACAUACUUUAUUCAAGCAGCGGAGAUGUUGAGACUCCAGCAUUGUGGGUAUUGUCAUGACUCAGCACACUGGAAAUUAAGGCCCACUAUUCCCAUAGUCAUCACAGAAUUAGAAUGUUUAGAAAGUAUGCAAGUUUUCUCCAAUUUAUCUAAUUUUCAGACUCCAAUUGACAGAAAACAGAUCAAGUUUAACACAAAUUACUAUUUAAUGCAACUAAUUAGUCUAGGUGCAGGUAUGAACCAUUAGCAAAGAUCUCUAUGAACUAAAGUGCUAAUCCCCUUAUAUAUACACCCCAUUACAGAUACUCAGACAGACAGACAGGAAAGAAAUCAUGGGUGCUAUGGACAGUGGAAAACUGGGAAGUCAGUUUAUUGUCCUUCUCCAUAGGAUCUGCAGAGAUGGUUCUGGUGCUGCUCAGAACGCUGCUUCUAGGCCUUCCCUUUCAUUGCUUUGACUUGUUUUCAAGAGGCAAGGGGUAGCUGGUUCUCUUAUUGUCUAAAGUUUUAGCUGCCAGAAACUACUGAAGGAAAGAGAACCUUUUUUUUCCAGACUUAAAUUCAUCCAGAGAGAGAGAGAGAAACAGACAGAGAGACCCCAUCUACCAACCCUUAAAAUAAGGAGCAGGAAGUGACUUCAC